AUUGAACGCUGGCGGCAGGCUUAACACAUGCAAGUCGAGCGGGGAGAUGUAGCUUGCUACAUUUCCUAGCGGCGGACGGGUGAGUAAUGCUUAGGAAUCUGCCUAUUAGUGGGGGACAACAUUCCGAAAGGAAUGCUAAUACCGCAUACGCCCUACGGGGGAAAGCAGGGGAUCUUCGGACCUUGCGCUAAUAGAUGAGCCUAAGUCAGAUUAGCUAGUUGGUGGGGUAAAGGCCUACCAAGGCGACGAUCUGUAGCGGGUCUGAGAGGAUGAUCCGCCACACUGGGACUGAGACACGGUCCAGACUCC
rnacentral:rRNA from 1 species